CUGGUUGGACCUACCAGUAGUUAUAUGCUUGUCUCAAAAAUUAAGCCAUGCAUGUCUAAGUACACACGAAUUAAAAGUGAAACCGCAAAAGGCUCAUUAUAUCAGUUAUGGUUCCUUAGAUCGUUAACAGUUACUUGGAUAACUGUGGUAAUUCUAAAGCUAAUACAUGCAAUUAAAACACGGACCUUCUGGGACGUGUGCUUUUAUUAGACCAAAACCAAGCGAUCAAUUGAUCGUUAUAUUGGUUGAACUCUAGAUAACAUGCAGAUCGUAUGGUCUUGUACCGACGACAGAUCUUUCAAAUGUCUGCCCUAUCAACUUUUGAUGGUAGUAUCUAGGACUACCAUGGUUGCAACAUCUAAGGAAGGCAGCAGGCGCGUAAAUUACCCACUCCCAUAUAAAUUAUGAAUAUGACAGUUGGCAUCGCCGUAUUCAUUUAUUAAAGUUAUAUACA
rnacentral:ncRNA from 1 species